UUCCAUGCAGCGCGCGCCCAUGCAUUCAAAAAGGAGCCGUGUUCGAAUCCGGCUGUAGCGUUUUCCAAUUGCUUCAUUUCAUUUUCUCUUCCACAUGUUCAUACAAACUACAUGCAUUUUUUUUAUUUUUUUUCUCACUUCAUAAAUCCAUAACAAAUUAAAUAAUGCUCCAAAAAAUACCAGGAUUUUUGCAUUAGGUCAUAUUCUAUGUCUAGUUUUU
rnacentral:lncRNA from 1 species